GGUAUUGUUUACCCCACGAAUAAGCCCCGGAAACUUGUUAUUGGUUGUAAACAAACA
rfam:Lactobacillus similis DSM 23365 = JCM 2765 strain DSM 23365 NODE_197, whole genome shotgun sequence.